GUGUCUCGUCCAGUCCGUAAGGUGUGCCCAGUCCAGGCAAGCACACGAUGGGGGCACAGGAGUCUCUGUCCCAGACUGGUAUUGUACUUAGGGGGCUUCUCAUUGAGGCAAUGACGGCCCAAGGUCGUGGCCACUGAAGCGCGUCCCUGGACGCACCCCUCCCCACUGGGUCCAGGCAGGCGUAUCUCUCCCCCGCCCGCCUGCGGCUUCCACGGAGAACUGGGUUCCGCGCCAGCCCCGGCUCAAGGAGCGCCCGGGCCACUGCCCCGCGGAGAGCGGCUGAAGUCAGGGUUACAACUCACCUUGGAACUGGGGCGCCAGACCUCCCCUAGGCAGGGCGUUCUCCCCCCCACCCGAUGACAUCAUCUGUUUGGGGCUGAGUCGCUCCAUAAAAUCAGCCCUCGGGAAGCCAGGAGCCCAAAGAACAGAGGUGCUGGCCGUGACGCCCGGCUGCGCGCACAAGGUCCGGGUGAGCGCCCCGCCAGCCCCAGCGCCCGAGCCAGAGGGCGAGGAGGAGCUCAGCCGCCCGCAGCCCGCGCUCUCCGCCCGCGCCGGGAGCCGCCCGAAGAUGCCUCUCCGCAGCCUGCACGCGGCGGCCGUGCUCCUGCUCGUGGUCUUAAAGGAACAGCCUUCCAGCCCAGCCCCGCUCAAUGGAUCCAAGUGGACCUAUAUAGGUCCUGACGGGGAGAAGAGCUGGUCCAAGACCUACCCUUCCUGUGGGGGCCUGCUGCAGUCCCCGAUAGACCUGCACAAUGACAUCCUGCGGUACAACGCCAGCCUCGGGCCCCUGGCCUUCCAAGGGUACAACCAGUCUGCCAGUCCGCAAUUUGUCCUCACCAACAAUGGCCACUCAGUGAAGGUGAAACUGCCCAAGGACAUGCAGGUCCGGGGCCUCGGGGCCCGCUACAAUGCCUCACAGCUGCACCUGCACUGGGGCGACAAGAACGACCCUCAUGGCUCCGAGCACACUGUCGGCGGGAAGCACUUUGCCGCCGAGCUGCAUAUUGUCUAUUACAACUCGGACCGGUACCCCAAUGACAGCGUCGCCAAGGACAAGCCAGAAGGCCUCGCGGUCGUAGCUGUUCUCAUAGAGGUGGGCUCCUCCAAUCCAGCAUAUGACAAGAUCUUCGAUCACCUUAAAGCUGUAAAGUACAAAGACCAAGAAGUGUUCAUUCCGGGUUUCAGCAUAGAAGAGCUGCUGCCAGAAAGGCCUGAAGAGUACUACCGCUACAGGGGGUCCCUGACUACACCUCCCUGCUACCCCACUGUGCUCUGGACGGUGUUCCGGAACCCUGUGCAAAUUUCCCAGGAGCAGCUGAUGAAGUUGGAGACAGACCUGUACUGCACGCACAUGGAUGACCCGUCCCCCAGAGAGAUGGUCAACAACUUUCGGCAGGUCCAGAAGUUUGACGAGAGGCUGGUGUAUGUCUCCUUCCAACAAGGCAUCGUCCUCUCUGUGGCCCUGGCCUGUGGUCUUGGCAUCUGUAUUGUCCUGGCGGUAUCCCUUUGGCUUUUCAGAAGGAGAAAGAGUAGCAAAAAAGGUGAGAACAAAGGAGUCAUCUACAAACCAGCCAUCAAGCAGGAGAUUGAGGCCCAUGCCUGAGGCCCUGGCACGCCCAGGCACAUCCAAGGGAGGACUUGGCUUUGGACGCCAACUGCUGUGGCUCCCUGGACACUUGACAUACC
rnacentral:lncRNA from 1 species